AUGGGAUGGAGCUGGACCAUUCUCUUCCUCCUGUCAGUAACUACAGGUGUCCACUCCCAGAUCCAGCUGCAGCAGUCUGGUCCAGAGCUGGGGAAACCUGGGUCCUUAGUGAAGUUGUCCUUCAAGGCUUCUGGCUACACCUUCACUGACCAUGUUAUACACUGGGUGAAGCAGAGGCCUGGACAAGGCCUGGAGUGGAUUGGAUAUUUUUAUCCUGGAAAUGGUGAAACUAAGUACAAUCAGAAGUUCCAGGGCAAGGCCACACUGACUGCAGACACAUCCUCCAGCACAGCCUACAUGGAGCUCAGCAGGCUGACAUCUGAGGACUCUGCAGUCUAUUACUGUGCGACCGGAAACACAGUCAGUAAUUGUCCUGCCUGGAAACACUUUAAGGCCUUUUGUGGGUAA